AGGGUCAGCGCCGGGGAGUUCAGCCAAGUUCAGAAAUCAGACACCGCGCUCCUGUGACACCGCACUGAGAGCCCGAGCGCGCAUUGCCACCUGUCCUCGCCCGGAGAGAACUCCUGGCUCUGGAAGUCCGUGCAAACACCUCCCCGAUGGAGGUGAGCAGGAGAGGAAGGCACCGAGAGCCCGGAGGGGACCCGCAGGUUUGUAGUCAAGCUUGGACUCCAGCUUCUUGGAAUCAGCCACUUUCCUGACAGCUUUCAUGAAAUCUUCCUGAACUACGAAGUCAUGAUCAGCACGGAUCGCAAACAUCCCUGGGAGGAGGAUUGAACAGUGUGAGGAGACACAACAUGAAGUUUCACUCAAAUUCAAAUGAAAACUGAUCCAGGUUACACUAUCUACAUGACAUUCCCAUAUCUUGGAUGUUGGGAAGAGGAGGGAAUUCACCUUUCUGAACUAUGGGAGUGGUAAAAAGAAAACUUGUUUAAA